rnacentral:rRNA from 1 species
CUUUCCUUGACGACGACUGGCGCACGGGUGAGUAACGCGUAUCCAACCUUCCCAUGACCACGGGAUAACCCGUUGAAAGACGGCCUAAUACCGUAUGACGUCGUUUGCCGACAUCGAAAGACGACCAAAGGUUUGGCGGUGAUGGAUGGGGAUGCGUCUGAUUAGCUUGUUGGCGGGGUAACGGCCCACCAAGGCUACGAUCAGUAGGGGUUCUGAGAGGAAGGUCCCCCACAUUGGAACUGAGACACGGUCCAAACUCCUACGGGAGGCAGCAGGA